rnacentral:rRNA from 1 species
AUGGCGAGGUCGCCCAUGGCGAUGCUCCCGUUCUUGGCGCUCGGGGUGGCAGCACUAGUCCUAUCUGCCGCGGGAAUGGUGGCCGCGCAGAAGUGCGGCUGCCGGGCGAACGAGUGCUGCAGCCAGUACGGGUAUUGCGGCACUACCGACGCCUACUGCGGACAAGGGUGUCAGUCUGGCCCGUGCUCGGGGAGCGGCGGCGGCGGCGGGAGCGGCGUCUCCGUGGAGAGCGUCGUCACCGAGGCGUUCUUCAACGGGAUCAAGUCCCGGGCCGGCAACGGGUGCGCCGGCAAGAGCUUUUACACGCGCCCGUCGUUCCUGAGCGCCGCCCGGGCCAACCCCAACUUCGGGAAAGGCCGCACGACCGACGACGGCAAGAGGGAGAUAGCCGCCUUCUUCGCCCACGUCACGCACGAGACCGGACACAUGUGCUACAUCGAGGAGAUCGGCGGGGCGAGGCAGAACUACUGCGACAGGAAGUACACGCAGUGGCCGUGCGCCUCGGGGAAGGGGUACUACGGGCGCGGGCCGCUGCAGCUGACGUGGAACUACAACUACGGGGCGGCGGGGAAGAGCGUGGGAUUCGACGGGCUGAACAACCCGGAGAAGGUGGCGCAGGACCCGGAGGUGGCGUUCAAGGCGGCGCUCUGGUUCUGGAUGAACAACGUGAAGCAGGUCCUGCCGCGGGGGUUCGGCGCCACGACCAGGGCCAUCAACAGCGGCGAGUGCAACGGCGGGAACGCGGCCGCCAUGAACGCCCGGGCGGGCUACUACAGGGCCUACUGCAGGCAGUUCGGCGUCGACCCGGGGAACAGCCUCACUUGCUAG